GGCCCUCCUCGCCCGGCUGGCCAUUCUCGGGUGGCAGCCGCCUCCAGACCCAUUUUUGCGGGUUCACUGCCGCCGGAGGGCGGGGCCGGCUGAGACAGGGCAGAGGGCGCGCAGUUCCGUGACUUGGGGCUUUUCCUUUCCAGCCGCAGAGCCCAAGCACACUGAAUAUUGACACAAAGACCGCUCUGAAACCAAGGUCUGAAACCAUUUUUACGCUGGUGAAACGGCGAAGCCUGCACAGCCAAAGUGAAGUAGAGAAAGUCGUGACGCCCAGGUUCUGCAAAGGUUCCGCAAAUAAUCCAGAGAGAUUAACAUUGGCUCCUCCCAGGAGAGAAGUGAAUUAUUCAGCUUUUCUCUUUGGACUGUGCGUCUCUUCAUUUGGCCGGAGGAGCAAAAAGAUCUAAACUGCUUACAGAGAGUUUUAGAAGAAUAUAACAGUAAUUAUUAAAGACUGUCUGUGCUCCAGUCCUGGUGGAACAGUGACAAGGCACUCCUCAGAAUGCUGCCUUCCCGUUGUAUCUUGCUCCGCAGCAAGAUGCUACUGACCAUACAAUAGGCUUGGGGAGAGCCAGAAAACACUGAUGGAGAAACGCAAGCUUGACGAUAUCAUAAAAAUAUUCCUCAUCACUUUGUUUUGGUAGCCAGUAUGCUUCUGUUUAGGCCCUUUUGGAUUAUGUUAAUUAUGUUUUAUAAUUUUUGUAAUGGUCCAAGACUGCCACAUAAAUACCGGACAGGAUUUCUACAACAGAAGGGAUUCAUGGGAAGGGUAAGACAUAAUUGUAUGCUUCUAUAGCUAAUCCAGCUUCCUAAAUCAUGCAAGAGGGGAACACGUGUAAGUACUAGCUCUGUAAUACUGGAAGAUUUAGUUUAACUGCUUGUAAAAUAAAGAUAAUUUCGUGUUGCUUCAAACAGGGAAUUCAAUAAAUGUGAAGCUAUUUGAAGUC